rnacentral:rRNA from 3 species
GUCUUGCUGUCACUUAUAGAUGGAUCCGCGCUGCAUUAGCUAGUUGGUAAGGUAACGGCUUACCAAGGCAACGAUGCAUAGCCGACCUGAGAGGGUGAUCGGCCACACUGGAACUGAGACACGGUCCAGACUCCUACGGGAGGCAGCAGUAGGGAAUCUUCCGCAAUGGGCGAAAGCCUGACGGAGCAACGCCGCGUGAGUGAUGAAGGUCUUCGGAUCGUAAAACUCUGUUAUUAGGGAAGAACAUAUGUGUAAGUAACUGUGCACAUCUUGACGGUACCUAAUCAGAAAGCCACGGCUAACUACGUGCCAGCAGCCGCGGUAAUACGUAGGUGGCAAGCGUUAUCCGGAAUUAUUGGGCGUAAAGCGCGCGUAGGCGGUUUUUUAAGUCUGAUGUGAAAGCCCACGGCUCAACCGUGGAGGGUCAUUGGAAACUGGAAAACUUGAGUGCAGAAGAGGAAAGUGGAAUUCCAUGUGUAGCGGUGAAAUGCGCAGAGAUAUGGAGGAACACCAGUGGCGAAGGCGACUUUCUGGUCUGUAACUGACGCUGAUGUGCGAAAGCGUGGGGAUCAAACAGGAUUAGAUACCCUGGUAGUCCACGCCGUAAACGAUGAGUGCUAAGUGUUAGGGGGUUUCCGCCCCUUAGUGCUGCAGCUAACGCAUUAAGCACUCCGCCUGGGGAGUACGACCGCAAGGUUGAAACUCAAAGGAAUUGACGGGGACCCGCACAAGCGGUGGAGCAUGUGGUUUAAUUCGAAGCAACGCGAAGAACCUUACCAAAUCUUGACAUCCUUUGACAACUCUAGAGAUAGAGCCUUCCCCUUCGGGGGACAAAGUGACAGGUGGUGCAUGGUUGUCGUCAGCUCGUGUCGUGAGAUGUUGGGUUAAGUCCCGCAACGAGCGCAACCCUUAAGCUUAGUUGCCAUCAUUAAGUUGGGCACUCUAAGUUGACUGCCGGUGACAAACCGGAGGAAGGUGGGGAUGACGUCAAAUCAUCAUGCCCCUUAUGAUUUGGGCUACACACGUGCUACAAUGGACAAUACAAAGGGCAGCGAAACCGCGAGGUCAAGCAAAUCCCAUAAAGUUGUUCUCAGUUCGGAUUGUAGUCUGCAACUCGACUACAUGAAGCUGGAAUCGCUAGUAAUCGUAGAUCAGCAUGCUACGGUGAAUACGUUCCCGGGUCUUGUACACACCGCCCGUCACACCACGAGAGUUUGUAACACCCGAAGCCGGUGGAGUAACCUUUUAGGAGCUAGCCGUCGAAGGUGGGACAAAUGAUUGGGGUGAAGUCGUAACAAGGUAGCCGUAUCGGAAGGUGCGGCUGGAUCACCU